rnacentral:rRNA from 1 species
AUGAACGCUGGCGGCGUGCCUAAUACAUGCCAGUCGCGCGAACAGACGAGGAGCUUGCUCCUCUGACGUUAGCGGCGGACGGGUGAGUAACACGUGGAUAACCUACCUAUAAGACUGGGAUAACUUCGGGAAACCGGAGCUAAUACCGGAUAAUAUAUUGAACCGCAUGGUUUAAUAGUGAAAGGCGGUUUUGCUGUCACUUAUAGAUGGAUCCGCGCCGCAUUAGCUAGUUGGUAAGGUAACGGCUUACCAAGGCAACGAUGCGUAGCCGACCUGAGAGGGUGAUCGGCCACACUGGAACUGAGACACGGUCCAGACUCCUACGGGAGGCAGCAGUAGGGAAUCUUCCGCAAUGGGCGAAAGCCUGACGGAGCAACGCCGCGUGAGUGAUGAAGGUCUUCGGAUCGUAAAACUCUGUUAUUAGGGAAGAACAAAUGUGUAAGUAACUAUGCACGUCUUGACGGUACCUAAUCAGAAAGCCACGGCUAACUACGUG